GAUGCAUUGCAAAAGGAAUUUGGAAUUGGCCCAGAAAACAAAUUAUUUGAAAUACUAAAACUCUGGAGAUUUGGAAGAGUAAACCCAAUGUUGUUUGGUAGGCUACAACAAAGCUUGUUUUGCGGUAUUGAGAUCACAUUAAGAGAUGAGAUAUUGAAAAUAGAUAAAGGGAAUACACCAGAUAGUUUAUUUAACCCAAAACUGAAAAAUGUUAGGCUUGUUAAUCGACCCAAUUCAUCUGGAAUAUUUCCCUCUAACUCCAUAUUUUCUCCAACAAGGAUAUUAAGCAAUGAAAGGUUGCCAAGGGAAGGUGUGAUUUUUCCAUUCAGAUUGUUUGCUCUGAAUCGAAGGUCUUCAAGCAUAGGUAAAGAGCCAAGCUCUGCAGGGAUUUUCCCAGUUAGAUCAUUCCAUGAUAGGCGGAGUAUCCUGAGACGGGAACAACGCGUCAAGUUGACAGGAAUUUCACCUUCUAUUGUGUUGUUGUUGAGAUAGAAUUCCCGAAAUCGAAACAAAUUACCGAUUUCCUGGGGAAUUUGACCAUUGAAACUGUU
rnacentral:misc_RNA from 1 species